rnacentral:lncRNA from 13 species
AUGCCAGGACAGCAGGCCCUGGGAAGGGAGUUGUCUCCAGCCUUGACACGGCCCAGCGGUGUAGCCGCCGAGGGGAACUCAGCUCCCCGCAGUGUGCGGGGCACAGGGCGCCAACCAACCAGGGCCCGUGGCCCAGGGACACGCGGCUUGUCGGGGGGAGAACCUGGGCCCUCGCUCUCCCUUUCAGGGCGGGCACCGUGGACAGGCGAGGCCAGGCUGCCGGCUCCCAGGCAUGGCGGAGGCCACACCGCUCCGGCUGCCGCCCACCCAGCCACGCUUGAGGAGCGUUCAGCGGCCUCCACCCCGCCCGGGAGGACGGGGGACCGGGGACCUGGAAGGGCCUGGCCCUGGCUUCCCUGCAGCGCCCUCGGAGGCCGGACCAAUGUGCCAGAGCUGAGGGCCCAGGGCUGCGCGGGCGGCCCGGCAGCGUCCCCAAGGGCGACGCCCCACAAGUUUGCCUCCAGGGCCCAGCCAACCCCUAGGGGUGGGAAAGCGUCGGCCCAGCCAGAGGAUCCAGCAGGGCCGCCCCCUUCACCCGUGGCCCACAGGUCAAGACUCCGCGUCCUCAUCUCGGGCUGGGACCGCCUUUGCGUCCGCCCUGAGCGGGACCGUGGGAUCCUGGGGAGCCCCGCCUCAGUGCUCCGAAGCCCCGGAAGAGCUACAGCUGCCGCUUCCGGUCAUGACCGGAAGUGUCCGAACGGCAUUCGCCCUCCCUAUGAAAUGACGCACUUCCUGCCUGAGGCGGCCGCUGUUCUCACGGUUUCCAGCAGGUGGCGCUGGGACCACGGAAAGCCGGCGCGGCGGUCGGUUAGCCCUCGAGCAUUCUGGGAAUUGCAGGCGUGGCCCCUCCUUUUCCUGUUCUCCUUGGUCAGUUCCGGUCUUGUUUCGCCAACAAAUGCCGCGGUUCCGGGGCUGUUUCCGAGCCGGACGCCAGGGCCGCGGUGUCCUGGAGUAGAGAGGCGGACGCAUGCGCACAAGACUACACGUCCCGACAGGCGUCGGGAGCGGCGGCCCAGUGCCUUGUGGGAGGUGUAG